GGUAUAGCUCAGUUGGUAGAGUGCUUGUCUCACAUGCACAAGGCCCUGGGUUCAAUCCCCAGCACC
rnacentral:tRNA from 1 species